CGAAGGUGGCCUGUGAGGGUUGCUGGAGGUAUCAGAAGUGCGAAUGCUGACAUAAGUAACGAUAAAGCGGGUGAAAAGCCCGCUCGCCGGAAGACCAAGGGUUCCUGUCCAACGUUAAUCGGGGCAGGGUGAGUCGACCCCUAAGGCGAGGCCGAAAGGCGUAGUCGAUGGGAAACGGGUUAAUAUUCCCGUACUUGGUGUUACUGCGAAGGGGGGACGGAGAAGGCUAUGUUGGCCGGGCGACGGUUGUCCCGGUUUAAGCGUGUAGGUGUGUGUUCCAGGUAAAUCCGGUUCACUUUAACACUGAGGCGUGAUGACGAGGCACUACGGUGCUGAAGCAACAAAUGCCCUGCUUCCAGGAAAAGCCUCUAAGCAUCAGGUAACAUCAAAUCGUACCCCAAACCGACACAGGUGGUCAGGUAGAGAAUACCAAGGCGCUUGAGAGAACUCGGGUGAAGGAACUAGGCAAAAUGGUGCCGUAACUUCGGGAGAAGGCACGCUGACAC
rnacentral:rRNA from 1 species